GGGAGGGCAUGUCUCCCCCACUCCCUACUUUUUAUCCCUGUGGGAAGAAAAAAAAAAUUGUUUCUCUCUCCUACUUUAUUUUGGGCACUAUAAAUUGACUGCUCCUUUAGUUCUCUUUGUCCCUCACUUCUCCUCCUCUUGUUCUUUUUAACUGCAGCAGAGAAAUCUUCUUGUUACAGCUUCCUCGGCCCCAAAGGCUUCUUCUUCUAGUAGUGACCAACCUUCGAAAAAAGGGUGAAAAAACAGGGUGCUCGAAAAAAGUGGGUUAUGGAGAGGCUCAACUCGAAGCUGUACCUGGAGAACUGCUACAUAAUGCAAGAGAACGAGAGGCUGAGGAAGAAAGCCCAGCUCCUGAACCAGGAGAAUCAGGCCCUCCUUUCCGAGCUGAAGCAGAAGCUGUCCAAGACGAACAGCGGCCCGAAGAAGCCCAAUGGGGGCCCAAACUCCAUUCCUGAUCUCAAUCUCUGCUCCACUUCGGGCCCAAAUGGGUCCAAGCAGUGAUGAUGAUGACCCCACAACAAAAGAGAGAAAUCAGAAGCUUUAUGGGCCCCACCUAGGAAGGACUCCUCAACCCUUUUGCUAAUUUUUUGUGUAAAACCCUAGGGAGUCAAAUAGUGGUACUAGUAGUGCUAGUAUUAGUAGUAUUUUUAGUUGGUGGUGGUUCUGUUUAGAGAUAUAUAUAAUAGUAGAUAUUUACAUGUGGUCAAUGUCAGAUUAUCUUUUUUUUGGGGGGGUUAAAAUGAUGUAUUUCUGAACUUGAAGGCUUAUUAUCUUUAUUAGCUUAUCAAAAUGGAAUACAACUCUUGUUACUCUC